rnacentral:rRNA from 1 species
UACGAAGUAGGCUAGCGUUGUUUGGAAUCACUGGGCGUAAAGUGCACGUAGGCUGAUUGGUCAGUUGGGGGUGAAAUCCCGGGGCUCAACCUCGGAACUGCCUUCAAUACUGCCAGUCUUGAGUCCGAGAGAGGUGAGUGGAAUUCCUAGUGUAGAGGUGAAAUUCGUAGAUAUUAGGAAGAACACCAGUGGCGAAGGCGGCUCACUGGCUCGGUACUGACGCUGAGGUGCGAAAGCGUGGGGAGCAAACAGG